GAUCUUAUGUAUUAUUUAACUACUAAUAACUGCAACAACUGGAAUCCACCAAAUUUAAGAAAUAUCCCAUGAAUAGGACAACGUAUGAACACAAUACAACAGAAAAGGAACUAUUCAGUCUGUUCACACAUGCUUGAAAGAAUUUACACUGAUUGGGAAUUUACCCCAAAAAGUUCCACUAAGAUUUUUUGUUUUUAGAGGCUGAUAAAUGUGAUGACCAACUUUAUUUAGGAAACUUGUGAGAAAAUAUUUCAAAAGAUUAAAAAAGUAUAUAGUGUAUAAAGUAUCUUUUCAUAUUUUGAAAUACUGGGUUGUCAUGCAGCACGUGGUUAGUUGCUAAAGAGGAAGUCCUGUGUUCUUUCUCUACGCUGACUGAACGUUUCUGCUGUUAUACAGUCUAUGGUUGUAACUCGGCAAAGAUGAGAAUUGAAAUCAUCCUCAUAUUAUUCCUUGAAGUGACACUAGUUCAAUCCCUCAGCGAAGUCUCAGGGUAUGUUGGGGAAAAUGUUACCUUACCAUCAGGAGCUGACCCAUCAUGGCAACUUGCUACAAUUGACUGGUCAGUAUUCCCAAACAACACUUGGAUUGCCACCUAUCGCAGCGGGAAGGAAAAUAUUGAACGACUCCAUCAGUACACAGGGAGACUCAGUCUCAACAUCUCCUCAGGUGACUUGACGAUUUAUAAUUUGACCCCAGAGGAUGCCAUGGAAUACACUGUAGACCUCUUAAACUCUAAAGCACAGGACAAAGUAAACAAGAUCAAGCUGACAGUGAGACCCUCUGCAGAACACCUCCAGAGACCAACCAUACAGACUGUCACCAGUACAUCUGCAGAAGGAGGCUGUUGGAUCGGCCUGCAUUGUUCUUCAACAGAUCAAGGUGUUGGCUUCGCCUGGCAGAUUAAUCCUCCCAGUGUGACUGUUUUCAGAAUGAGUAAUCCUGAUGGAAACUCUGCAGCUCUUUUAGCAUUUCUCAACACCACACAUAACCCAGUCCAAUUCACCUGCACCUCCAGCGGGCAGAUGGAGAGCACCUCAAGUGUCGUCACUCAUAACUGUGAUGAUGACAAGCCUCAGCCUCCUGAACCUAAGCUACUUCCUCAGCUCAGAUGUAGAUAUGUUUGGGUUUUUUUCAUAGGAUGCUUUCUGGGAAUUUCACUUACAGCAAUUACUUUUUACAUUUUUAAAGGCAACAACAGAACUGGAACAACUGCUUUACAGCUUGGCAUCGGUGUCGUUUCGUUUAAGAUGACAUAUAAACACAGACUGCAACUAAACCAAAGUACUUCAGGGAUGAAGGUUAUUAUUAAUUGUCCAUCACAGUUGUCUUAACAAAGGGGUUCCCUCCAUCCCUUCGCCAAUGUGGAGCCUGUGUGUGCUCCACCUCCCUCUGGAUGACUUUCUAAUGCUGCAUACCUACAUCAGCAUCAUGCACAGCUCUACCAGUGUGACUGGGAACACUCUGAAACAAUGCAGGGUGGGCAUCACCAAAACUGCAUGUAUUUCAUCUAUGGCCUUCCUGCAAAUGACUAAGGUUUGCUGGAUGACACAAAGUCAAAAACAACUCCUCUGAUUUUGAAUUAAACAAUCUUUGAAUAGAAAUAAAUAGCCAUGAGGCUUGAACAGGUGAAAGUCUAGGUUGCGGUUUAUCUUGCUUUCUGUGCACUGCUUUCUUUCCCCACAACCCCCCCCCCCCUUUUCGCACUGAGCUGCAACCCACACAUACAACUUUUGUUGUGAAAUUACAACUAAUUAUACACUAAGAAUGUCUCAUGAAGUGGAUUUUACACUGUUACACUGACCAUACAAACUGUUUGUUACUAAGUUGUAAUUCUUCAGCAAUUAGCAGUACAUGUUUUUGUUAAAUUACAGAACAAAUCAGAUCUGCUUGGCAAUGGCUCAAAGGUAAUUCAUUCAUAUAGCCAUAUUCAGAUUGAAACGAUCACUGUUACAUAAAUUAAUUUGUAUUCUCUGUUAUUUUCCAGAUAAACUUGCAUGCACACAAUAAGCUAAAGGCACUUCUCGCAAGCUGCUGGUAGAGUCAACCGUUCCUGCCCUGCUAAUCUCUGUCUGCAGGAACAGAGGGAGAAGCUCAAGUGCUUACUGCAGGGCUAUUUUGGUAUGGCAUACCGGGCAAAUGCCCGUGGGCCGAGGCACCUUUGGGGCCAGUGUAAUUUAAAUUAUUUAUUUAUAUAACUGUAAUUUUCUAUAGCCUACUGACAUUGGGCCGGCCUAAUCACAUCUCCUACUAGCCCCACCCCUCUGCUCUCUGUUUCUUGCUUUAUGGGCCACAAAAAACACAAAACAUUCGUCCUGCCAAAUGCGCGAAAACAAACGAUAUGUUUCUGAUAAGUUUGCUUCAACAUCAGCUGCAUUACCCUGUGUAGAAAAAGAGCUGUGACGGCCACUGCCAGGCAGAAGAAGCGUGUGGUAGCGAAACAGAGUGACAGAGUGACAAAGUGAUGGGCCGAGUGAGAGAGAUAGCAGGAGGAGACUGGAGGUGAAGGGUAAGCAUCGAGUAGCUCAGCCUGUAGGGAGGGAGGGUCAUUCACACUGGGGACCCUGGGGACAUGUAACCACCACUUUUUGAAAGCAUUUGUAAAGGAAAAAAUAAUAAUAAGUUACUGAUCACUGCAUUAUAUUUUAUUAUAUUUUUUUACAAUUGUCACCUGCCACCUGAAUUUUGUGCUUCCCUUUACAAAAAUGAACACAUUUCCACCACAAAUUGGUGCAGAUAAUGUCUCCAGAAUCCAGACCUCCCAAUUCAAUGUUUCAAAUAUAAAUAUUUUUUCUAAAUAGUAGGUCAAUAUUAAUAUUAUCUAUUAAAAUAUAAUCAUGUCUAGUCAUGGACACCAAUCUUGUUCAUUGUCACAUCUCAGUUUCAUCACACCCCUAAUCUGACCCCCUAAAUGGAACGAUGGUGUAUUGGUGAGGGGUCUGAUCGAUUUUGGUGGGCCGCCUUGGCCAAAAAUGCCAGGGCAGAUUUUUUGUCUUAGUCCAGCCCUAUGCAUGAAUGCUUAUUUUUAUUCACAAGUUAGAACUAUUAUAGUAUUAUAGCAUUAACAAAUGAAAGACUGACUACCACUGUAGAACGUUUUUCUUGCCAAAUGUUACAAAUAAAGUGUAACUUAAAAAUAUAUUGAUAUAAUACUAAGAUUACAUUACAUUACAUUACACGCCAACUUGUGAAUAGGGGGUACUAGGAAUCUUUUUGCCCACUUAAAACACUGAGCAAACCUGUAUCGAAUAUCAAAUAUGUGAAGAAAAAAAAUUCUGGCUCGGUCCAGAGAUGUUUUGUGCCAAAUUUUGAAAAGAAUAGUGAAAAAACAGAUUUGGACUUAAUUCAAAAUAUUGGCCAUAUAAAACAAAAUGUGAAACAGUUUUCUUCAGGGACCACAGAAUCCAGGGAGAAAGAAUAAUGUUGUUUCUGAGACUUAAGGUUCAAAAUGUUCAGGCCAAAUCAUUAAGUUCAUUGUAUUAGCCCCACCAUCUGGCCAAAGUGCAACGAAGCUGUGGCUUUUAAUGCAAUGCAACUAUGAGCAAUGUGUGAAUUGAAAUGUGCAUAAACAUGGAGACUAAAAUAAAACAACAUGCUUGCAAAAAAAUAUUACAAAAAGUUCAAUAAUGUCAUCUACCAGCUGAAGAGUGUAACUACAUAUUCUCUAGUGUGAGUGAGUGUUUUCUAGUUUUAAAUGUGUCAGUUGGUAUAUUUUUAUUUUGACAAUUUAAAUUUGGUAUAUAUAUUACAAAAAGUUCCAAUCUUGUGUUUUUGCGGUGGGGUUAACUUUUUACAGUUAUUAUGUGUCAUGUUGUCUUGAUUGCAAUUCAUAAACAUUAGAGUAAAUGAAUAGUUUAAUGUAAGACAUGUUUAACUGGCAAUGUAAUCUGAAUCUGUUCAAUCAUGAUCACAACUGCAUAAAAUGUGAGUCAUUUAAUUGAUUGUGACCCAAAUGAGGCUUUAUAAAACGUGUAAAUACCACAUUCAACAUCAACGCAUGAGGGUAAGGACUUCCUAAUGUGCCUGUCUGAGGCCCAUCAGACAACCUGCCUUUAAGUUGUAUAGCGGUACAGCCUGGGUCAUAAGAUGUGAAGUUAUCAUCAUCGUCAGUGUGAUAUAAGUAGCGGUGAUGUAAAUAUGGUUUCUUGUGACACAGAAACAGAAAUAAUUCAGAUUCAGAUUUAAAAUAUGUUUAAAUAGUUUAGUAUUUAUCUUUAUACCAAAGGUCAACUUUACAUGUAGAAGAUCAAGUAUAUUAUUUUAUACCAGAGACAAAAUCACACAGUUCAACAGAGCAGGAGACCUUGACACAUACCGAGAACUGCUAUCUGGUUGCCACGGUAAUUGAUUACUUCCAACUAUUAACGUCAGUUAAAACUGCCUUUAAGGAUGAAUUCAAGUACUUUGAUUUCCUUUUUUUGUUGUUUUGUUGUACUUCUGCUCCUCUGUAUUUGUCUGACAGCUUUAGUUACUAGUUAUUUUUCAGAUUACAAUUUUUCAUGACCUUCAUGUUCAGUAAAAAAACAUGUGCCUCAUACUUGGUUAUUUUAAAUGUGAAUAUUUCUGUGUUUUUAUGUGUUGAGAAAAUUCUCAUCUUUCCUAAGAUAAAUAUACUAUUAAACAAACUGGCAUCAGCUGGAAAAUGUAACAAAGAUGUGUUGAUGUGAUAGAAUAUGAUGCACUGUUGUAGAUUAAACAUUAUAUAAAUAAAGGAUCUGAAUACUU